GAUGAACGCUAGCGAUAGGCUUAACACAUGCAAGUCGAGGGCAGCAUUAUUUUAGCUUGCUAAGAUAGAUGGCGACCGGCGCACGGGUGCGUAACGCGUAUGCAACCUGCCUGUAAUUAGGGAAUAACCCGGUGAAAGUCGGACUAAUACCCUAUAUUCUUCUUUUUCCGCAUGGAGAAGGACGGAAAGAUUUAUUGAUUACAGAUGGGCAUGCGUCCCAUUAGCUCGUUGGUAAGGUAACGGCUUACCAAGGCAACGAUGGGUAGGGGGACUGAGAGGUUGACCCCCCACACUGGUACUGAGACACGGACCAGACUCCUACGGGAGGCAGCAGUGAGGAAUAUUGGUCAAUGGGCGAGAGCCUGAACCAGCCAAGUCGCGUGAAGGACGACGGUUCUAUGGAUUGUAAACUUCUUUUGUAGAGGAAUAAUGGCAGCUACGCGUAGCUGAGAUGCAUGUACUCUACGAAUAAGUAUCGG
rnacentral:rRNA from 1 species